UACGGAGGGUGCAAGCGUUGUCCGGAAUCACUGGGCUUAAAGCGUGUGUAGGCGGGCGAUCAAGUACCUUGUGAAAUCCCACGGCUCAACCGUGGAACUGCUGGGUAUACUGGUUGUCUUGAGCCAGCUAGGGGCGAGCGGAACAGACGGUGGAGCGGUGAAAUGCGUAGAUAUCGGGAGGAACACCUGUGGCGAAAGCGGCGCACUGGACCAUAACUGACGCUGAGGCGCGAAAGCUAGGGGAGCAAACAGG
rnacentral:rRNA from 1 species